rnacentral:rRNA from 1 species
UACGUAGGGCGCAAGCGUUGUCCGGAAUUAUUGGGCGUAAAGCGCGCGCAGGCGGUCCUUUAAGUCUGAUGUGAAAGCCCACGGCUCAACCGUGGAGGGUCAUUGGAAACUGGGGGACUUGAGUACAGAAGAGAAGAGUGGAAUUCCACGUGUAGCGGUGGAAUGCGUAGAGAUGUGGAGGAACACCAGUGGCGAAGGCGACUCUUUGGUCUGUAACUGACGCUGAGGCGCGAAAGCGUGGGGAGCAAACAGG